rnacentral:rRNA from 1 species
CCUACGGGAGGCAGCAGUGAGGAAUAUUGGUCAAUGGCCGAGAGGCUGAACCAGCCAAGUCGCGUGAGGGAAGACGGCCCUACGGGUUGUAAACCUCUUUUGUCGGGGAGCAAAGCGAACCACGUGUGGUUCAUUGAGAGUACCCGAAGAAAAAGCAUCGGCUAACUCCGUGCCAGCAGCCGCGGUAAUACGGAGGAUGCGAGCGUUAUCCGGAUUUAUUGGGUUUAAAGGGUGCGCAGGCGGAGGUGCAAGUCAGCGGUCAAAUUGCGGGGCUAAACCCCGUACUGCCGUUGAAACUGCAUGCCUUGAGUGCGCGAGAGGUAUGCGGAAUGCGUGGUGUAGCGGUGAAAUGCAUAGAUA